ACCACGAUAGCUCAGCUGUAGAGCAUCUGCCGCGUUGCGGAGGGUCGCCGGUUCGAUUCCGCCUCGCGGGC
rnacentral:tRNA from 1 species